rnacentral:lncRNA from 1 species
AGUCACGAUGAGUUUCAUAGCUGCCCUCAAGAUCACGACCAAAGAGGCACUCCAGCCCUAAUUCCACCUCGAAGGCACCACUACGGAUGGAAGAUAGCCAUUAGGCCCAAGAGCAUUUGACGACCGCAAGCACUAAUCGAAAGGCCAUCCCUAUGUUAGGGAGCCAUGCCUCGACAUGCCACCUCAAGAUUCGAUUAAUAAACUACUUCCC